ensembl:lncRNA
CACGUGUCUCUAUAUACUAUAUAGACGGCAAGUACGCGGUUUGGACGCGGCCCACGGCUUCAAGCAGUCGUCUAUCAGCACGUACAGCACGACUAAUAAUUAACCGCACUUGAAGCUUUCACAACAUUAAACACGAAACACCCAAACUGUAUACGGUCCCAUAACGAAGACCGACUGUACGUCGAUACGUGAAAUUCUGGAGGGAACGUCGGACGGCGUGGUGACGUAAUGACGUGUGACGUUACAUCCAUCUACGUUCUAUAACACGUGAAACCUGAACAUGAAAGGAGUAUUCUAAAAGCCACUCAUGCGUCUUACUCAGAAUAAGGUCAGUGAUCAGAUCACCGCCGUCCGUGUGGACGUGGUCAGCGUGAAUAUUUCUCAAGGUAACGCUUCUUUAGCUCGUGAAACUCCCGGAAUCGUCGAGCGUGUCCGACUUUCAGCGUCACUGCCAGGAAUCGCCACUUCCGAGCGGAGUCGGAAAAUCCGAUCUGUAGUUACUGCAGUAUUAUUAUUAUAUUAUUAUUAUUAUUAUUAUGAUGAUUAUUAUGAUUAUUAUUAGUUUCUUUCUUCUGUAUUUUUUCCACUAAGUUGAUGGGAAGCCUGUAGCGUAUAGACACCGGGCUUUAUUCGGGAUGUGAAGUGAGCGCAGGUUCCUGUGCUGGAUUUAGAUUUCGCAGUGUUCUUUUUAAAAGGUUAUAUUUUUUAAAUCAGUGUGACUAGCGUCUCUCUCUCUGACCCAUUCAGCGACGCAGCAGUUUUUACUAUUGUGACGAGUCCUUUGUAAUCAUCUCUUUGAUGUUUGUGUUAAACAGCUGGUGGAUAAGUCUCCUGCUGCUGUCGGCACGCCGGUAGCAGACGUGAGCGUUGUGCGCGGUGGAGAGCGUGAUUAGUGGUCUAUCUACGUGGACUUUAAGUUCAUCCGCACCUUUUCGUUUUGAAUUCUUGAGCUGUAAACGAGUCUGUACAGGAGCCGGUUCUGGACCGGGAGCGUUCCUCCGUGUGAGGGAGGGCGAACGUGUUUAAAAUAAAGGUACCGUUGAAUGUGUUUAUCGCUCACCCAAGCUCGUUCUCGUUAAACAGAACGCUGACACGGUCCUUUCUGUCCUGGGUUAUGACGGUGUCGCGUUAUUUUACUGCUAAAGGGUGUGUACCUUUGAGCUCUUCUUAUUGUGCAGCAUGUCACAUGAUCACUGCUACAGAUUUGUGUUUCAACAUGAUGAUGAUGAUGAUGAUGAUGAUGAUGAUGAUGAUGCCUUCAUAUUUGUCCACUGUGAGGAACGCUGGAGGACAAACUGCCGUUGUGAACGAGACAGACGUUAUCUCCGGAGCACCAGCACUGCCCUGACACGCCGUGUGUCUCCCUGUGCAGCGUGGGAUACGACAUGUCCGUGGUGACUGUGAUUUAUUAUUGUGGUAUAUUUCUAAUCGAGUAUCGGCACAUGUUUCUGUUAGUCCCAGUUAAACAUUAUUACUGACUGGAUCCGAACACCUGGACUGUGAUCUGCCAGACUGGAGGCAUUUAAUCACACACACACACACACAACACACACACACACACACACACACACACACACACACACAAUCUCUCUCACUCACUCUGUCUCUCUCUCACACACACACACACACACACAAUCUCUCUCACUCACUCUGUCUCUCUCUCACACACACUCACACACACACACACACUCUCACACACACACACACACACAAUCUCACUCACUCUCCUGUCUCUCUCUCUUACACACACACACUCACACACACACACUCUCACUCACUCUCCCUGUCUCUCUCUCUUACACACACACACACACACACACACACACACACACACACACACACACACACACACACAACAAUCUCUCUCACUCACUCUGUCUCUCUCUCACACACACACACACACACACACACACACACACACACACAAUCUCUCUCACUCACUCUGUCUCUCUCUCACACACACUCACACACACACACUCUCUCUCACACACACACACACACACACACACACACACUCACACACACACACACAAUCUCACUCACUCUCCCUGUCUCUCUCUCUUACACACACACACUCACACACACACACUCUCACUCACUCUCCCUGUCUCUCUCUCUUACACACACACACACACACACACACACACACACUCCCACUCACUCUCCCUGUCUCUCUCUCAAUCUCACACACACACACACACACACUCUCACUCUCCCUGUCUCUCUCUCUUACACACACACUCUGUUUCUGUCUCUCUCUCUCUCAUACACAAACACACACACACACUCCGUGUUGUUGGACUUUUUUUUUUGUCGGUUGGGGUCACCACUGUUUAAAAGAUUACUGAUUAUAUUUUUAUACAAAUAUCUGUCAUGUAAAAAUAUAUUUUAAAUAAAUGCUUAAAAAUUA